AAACCAAGAAAUUUAGUCAUUCUUUUACGGUAAAAAGACAGUUAGGCAAAAUAUGAAAAGGAUUAUUGGACCUUUAGUAUAGGAGUAAAAUCUAAAUACUAAUAGUUAUAUCAAACAUAAUUUGUUAAUGUGCUGAGUCUGUGAUAGCUUUAAGGGAAACUGGGAUUGGAUACCCCAUUAUUUUUAGUUGUAAAUUUAGUUUAGACUUACCGGAGUACUACGAAUAAAAAGUUUAAAACUCAAAGGGCUUGGCGGUGUUUUAGACCUCUCAGGGGAACCUGUCUCGUAAUCGACAAUCCGCGUUAAACCUAACCUUUUAUAGCAAUACAGCCUGUAUACCGUCGUCGUCAGGUAACUUCUU
rnacentral:rRNA from 1 species